AGCGAACGCUGGCGGCAGGCUUAACACAUGCAAGUCGAACGGGCACUUCGGUGCUAGUGGCAGACGGGUGAGUAACACGUGGGAACGUACCUUUCGGUUCGGAAUAAUACAGGGAAACUUGUACUAAUACCGGAUACGCCCUUUGGGGGAAAGAUUUAUCGCCGAUUGAUCGGCCCGCGUCUGAUUAGCUAGUUGGUGAGGUAAUGGCUCACCAAGGCGACGAUCAGUAGCUGGUCUGAGAGGAUGAUCAGCCACACUGGGACUGAGACACGGCCCAGACUCCUACGGGAGGCAGCAGUGGGGAAUAUUGGACAAUGGGCGCAAGCCUGAUCCAGCCAUGCCGCGUGAGUGAUGAAGGCCUUAGGGUUGUAAAGCUCUUUUGUCCGGGAAGAUAGUGACUGUACCGGAAGAAUAAGCCCCGGCUAACUUCGUG
rnacentral:rRNA from 1 species